rfam:Triticum aestivum genome assembly, contig: Triticum_aestivum_CS42_TGACv1_scaffold_513205_6BS
CAAGUACUCCCUCCAUUCGGAAUUACUUGUCGCAGAAAUAGAUGUAGAUCUAGAUGUAUUUUAGUUCUAGAUACAUCCAUUUCCGAGACAACUAAUUCCGAACGGGGGGAGUAGUUG